UGGAAAGGUCUCCAUAAGUCUUGGAUUUCUAAAAGAUAUCUCAAUAGAAACACUGCUAACAUUUUUGGAGCAGGUUAUUCUUUGCAGUGGGAUGUUUUGUGCAUUGUAGGAUGUCUAUCAUCUCUACCCAGUUAACUCUGGAAGCACUUUUUCCCAACAGAAUCAUCCCAGUUUCGAAACAUGUUCAGUGUUAGAUUAUAAAUGAUGGGCAAACGAAUCACCAAUACGUUGGUCAUAUCUCUGUCACUGUGGCAAACACCUGAGAUAUAUCAGCCUAAAGUGUGGAAGGUGUAUUUGUCCACAGUUGCUUUAGGGCCUAUGGUGAGGUAGUGCAUCAUGGAAGGGGGAUGCAGAAGAGCCGCUAAUUCAUCCCAUGGUGGCUAGGAAAUGACAGCGAGAGGAAGGGUUCAGGCCCUAAUAUUGCAUUCAAAGGCAUAUCCCCACUGAGUUCACUUCCUUACCCUAGGUCCCGUUGUCUAAACAUUCAACUGCCGCCUUUGGUAAUUAAGUCUUUUGUAUGUGGACCUUUGAGAAUCCCAAAGGUCCAUAUUCCUGAUCUAAACUACAUCAGAUCCCCAAAAUGUUCUGAGUUUAAUCUCUGGAACCUGCUAACAUGCUAUGUUAUAUGGUAAAGGAAUAACAGCGUUACUAGUCAUCUAUAUUUAGAAUACCUGGAUAAAUCCGAUGUAAUUUAUUCUUUUACACUGAACGUGGUAGAGGCAGAAGAGGUUAGAGAAAUGAGAUGUGAUACUUGCUAGCUUUGACAGUGAGUAAGGAGAUCCAGGGAUCUAGAUUCUGCUGAAUGUAGAUACACUUUAGAAGCUAGAAAAGGAGAAGAAAUGAAUCCUACUAAAAAGGUAUAGGGAAGAACACUUGGAUGUUUUAGUGAUACACAUUUAAAUCUUCUGACAGAUACAAUAGGAUGCAUAAAUGGUGGCAUAGGUUAUUAUAGCAGCAAUAGAAAACAGCAGCAACAGGAUUAGAUCCUUACAUCAUAUACAAUAAUUAGUAUUUCCUUACAUCAUAUACAAUAAUUAGCAUUUCCUCAAAAAAGCCAAUAAGCAUCAGAAAAGCUGUUCAAUAACUGUCAGCUACUAGGUGGUUACAAAUCAAAACAGUGUGAGACAUCACUUCAUGUCUAUUGUGAUACUUAAUAAUAGUUACAUGAUAACAAAUGUUGACAGGCACAUAAAAUGGGAUCAUGUAUGAUGCCUGUGGGAAUGUAAAAUAGUUCAUCUACUCUGGAUAAUGUCUAGUAGUUGCUCAAGGGAAUAAAUGUCAAAAAUCCAGAUGUGGCAGUGCAUACUAGGAAUCCCUUCACUAGAGACUGCCUUGUCUCAAAAAAAGAGACAAUCAAUACACAGGUGCAUAUAUACUUUUCAGCUCAGCAUUUCCAUUUCAAGAGAUGUGAAAACAUGUGUCUAUACAAAACCUUUAAAAUGAAUGUUUGUAGAAGCAUUAUUCUUAAAAAAACAAUACACAAAGUACUCCAAAGGGCCAAAAACUGUUUAAUGGAUAAGCACGGGGAUUCAACAUAAUCUUUAGAGGACAGUAGAACAAGCCACAGCUCCUACUCUUUGCAGCAGUUCUGAAGUCCGUAUGUGAUGUUUUCCAUCUUAUCCCUUGACCAAUCUUCCACUUUUUUUUUAACCCUGGGUAAGUAUUUCAGCCAAGACUUAUCUGGACACUGGCCUUGCCCCUGCCAAGCCAUAGUUACUACUGUCACCUGUUUACUGCUUCUCAGUGGGAGUGGAAGCACCAAGGGUUGUUCCAAUGAGUCCCUCAAGUACAUUCUCUUCUCUGACCCAGAAAACAGCAGCAGUAUUAGCUUUUUAUUGUAAUUAGAGUCAGGGAUCCUUCCAACUCAGCAACAUUCUCCACCUGUUUGUUAAUGACCUAGGGGAGUCUAACAUGAUCCAGCAUUAGUUGUUGUUCUGGAUUCAGCAAAACAUUAUAUUUCUGGUAAAAGUAUUGUUUCUUCCUUGAAAGAUGAAGUAUCAAUCCCAGAUACUUAUAUUUCAGGUCUGCAAGGGUAGGAAAUCUGUGCAAGUGGACUCAUGGGAGUCACGUUGAGAGGAACUAAUGUUAUCUCUGCCCUAUUACUGAGCCUGUGCAGUACUCUUGUUGGGAAGUGGCACUGUGUACCAUGUGUUUGUGAAAGGCAAGUGCAACAUCAUGAAUGACAGUGUCAAACCUACAAGGUGUCAACUUAAUUGCACUUUCUUCAAGUUCCAUCUGGGUGGUGCUUUCAGGGGCUUGGUAUGUGGGAAAAUCAGAGAAUUUCAUGGGCAGAUAUCUACUGGCACAUUCUGUUUUGCUAUACAGUAGCUUCUUUGUUUUGUGGCAAUUGUUGUACAGGAGCCCAUGAUGGUAAAUCACAUGUAAGAAGCUCUUAGGUAGUCACUUCAUAUUGGGUAGUCACACUUUAUUUAUAGUCAGUGCCAAUGACUAUUCUCCAUCAGCAUUAAGAAGAUCUACAGUAAGCAAUUUAUUCAAGAUACUACUUGAUAUAUUCAAGGAAUACCAUAUUAAGAAUACAGACAUGGGUCCUCUUGCUUUUCCAUUUGAUAGUCAGGAGUAGGAGCAGCAGCGUCAGCUGUAGUGAAAGAGAACCUGUGAUAUUGGGCUCAUGCAGAACAUCCAAUCCUGUUACCAGUAUAUGUAGUACACGUGCCAGCAUUGGGACGACUAAGAGUCACAACGUCCACCUGGUUGGUUUCGUGUCACCUCUGCAGGGGUGGGUUCUGCUUUUGGAUGAGAAUGUAAGUAUUUAGACACAGCAACGAUCCAUACUUUGUGCACAUUCUCCAAAGCUUACUUACAGGCUUCCUCUCCAGGCGUAUUAGGCAGGAUUCUGGAGUAAACAGGAUGAAUGUAUUUAUGAAAUUGGUUUAAUAGAUCAGCGUACCGAAUAAGAGUUGAACAUCCCAACAUUAACCAUCUGUGUGCUGGAGAAAGAGAGAACAUUGUGCCUUCUCAGCUCAUGAAGUUGAAUGUUUUGCAGUCCCAGUGCAGUACAGAAAGCUUGUAGCUCCCUGGAGACUUCUUAUCUGAAGGCAAAGGGAUUCUUCUGUCAGUGGAGCACGACAGUAGCAGAUAUAGUCACUGCAUGGAUUAAUUUUAUUUUUGUCAACUUGACCCAACUUACAGUCAUCUGAGAGAAAGGAAUCUCAAAUGAGGAAAUGUCCCCAUAAGACUGCCUUGUAGGCAAGUGUGUGUAAGCAUUUUCUUAAUUCAUAAUUGGUGUGUUUUGUGUAGCAGUUUCCUCUAAGAUUGAAACAGUCCACUUUGUAGGGAAGCUCAUUAUCAUAAGUAAGCAACUCAACAGAGCAUCUGGGGAUCCCUGAAAUUGACCAGAUUCCCUAGUUCUCUCCCUCUCUGAGAGUAUAUUAACAAUUAAGACCACUGAGAGAAGACUUUCAGACAAGUUCAGCAUCUUGGAAGAAGCAGAGAUCAGCCUAGCAGCCUGAAUGAAUCUCAGACCAGGAAAGGACAAGUUUCAGCUUGCUGGGCUGCCUGCAGGCUGUGCACUGCAGUGCAAGGUCCCAGCAUUCAUGGACUGUUAUCCAUGGGGGUAGGCUGCCUUUGAGUCGCUUCUGCUCCUAUAAGUAAUUCCUCACCCGUAUUUCUGGUAUCUGUACUUUGGUCUGUCAUCAGUUCCCUAUGUGAGGUUUCUUCAUAUCUCCGCAGGAAUAGACUCAUACGACACUGCGGAAGAGCCCAGUCCAUUGUUGGCAAUGCCACCCAUGGGUAGGUGGUCCUGGAGUGUAUAAGAAAGCAACUUGGGAAAUCGAGGGGGAGCAAGGUCAGCACACAGAACCUGUUGUUCAGCGCGGUCCAAGCGUGCAUCUCAUACUGGCUGCCUACGUUUGUAAUGUGUAAGAGUCUCCCAGGUGGCUUUGGCAUCAUGAGAGCUUCAGAAGUGAGGUCAUGGAGAGAAGCUGAGGCUUGGCACCAUAUGGCAGAGUUGGCGUUCCUGAAGAGAGACCAAGAGACCAUUGGUGUAGUCUGUGGAGACCCAAGAACACAGGAAGGACACUGGCAGUGUUCUGUGGAGCUGACUGAAGCUGCUGGAGUUGGCCUGCGCCUAGGAGACAAGUGGUGUGUCCUGCAGAUGGCAAAAUUGGGGAAGUGGAUCUUUGGAUCCAAGAUCAUAAGUGAAUCCCAGCACUUGGGCACUGAGUAUUUAUACUGUUGGAAUUUGUUUUUAUGUCAAUUUGAUUGAAACUUUGCCCCAGUUCUUCCCUCUUGUAGUAAGAAAAUAUUUAAUUUAUUAUUUUUUUUCUUUUACAAGAUUCCGCAUUUGAGAGACUCUGGAUUUUGAGAGGCUUUGAUAUUUUCAAAAGAUGAAACUUUGAAAGUGUUAAAAUGUGUAAAGACUGUGGAACUUUUAAAGCUAUACUAUACUUUAUAUUGCGAUAUUGAUAUUACCAUGAAAUAUUAGGGACAAACAAAAAAGGGAAAGUUUAUGGUUUGAUAGAGAUUAAUUUUUAUGUCACGUUGUAAAGGGCUCAAAUGUGUUGGUUAGUUUAUUUUGGCAACAUGAGACAAGCUAGAGUCAUCUGAGAAGAGGGAAUCCAAUAGAAAAAAAGGCGUCUACCACACUGGUCAGUAGGCAACUUUGAGGAGGCCUUUUCUUGACUGAUGAUUGGUGUAGAAGGGACCAUUUCACUGAGGAUGGUGCCCUCUCUGGGCAGGUGGUCGUGGGGUAUAUAAGAAAGCAAAUCGGGCAACCCAGGAGAAGCAAGUCAGUAAACAGCAUCCUCCAUGGGCUCUGCUUCAGUUCCUGCCUCCAGGUUGCUGCCCUUCUUAUGUUCUUGCCAUGACUUCUCUCAGUGAUGAACUGUGAUGAGUUAUGUAAACCAAAUAAAUCCAUUUAUCACAACUUA